UGCCAGCCGCCGCGGUAAUACGUAGGCUCCAAGCGUUGUUCGGAAUUACUGGGCGUAAAGCGAGUGUAGGCGGUCCGUCAAGUUGGUUGUGAAAUCUCCUGGCUCAACUGGGAGGGUGCAAUCAAAACUGACGGACUAGAGUCUGGGAGAGGAGAGUGGAAUUCCUGGUGUAGCGGUGAAAUGCGUAGAUAUCAGGAGGAACACCAGUGGCGAAGGCGGCUUUCUGGACCGAUACUGACGCUGAGACGCGAAAGCGUGGGGAGCAAACAGGAUUAGAUA
rnacentral:rRNA from 1 species